rnacentral:rRNA from 2 species
UGGGGAAUAUUGGACAAUGGGCGAAAGCCUGAUCCAGCAAUGCCGCGUGAGUGAAGAAGGCCUUAGGGUUGUAAAGCUCUUUUACCCGGGAUGAUAAUGACAGUACCGGGAGAAUAAGCUCCGGCUAACUCCGUGCCAGCAGCCGCGGUAAUACGGAGGGAGCUAGCGUUGUUCGGAAUCACUGGGCGUAAAGCGCACGUAGGCGGCUUUGUAAGUUAGAGGUGAAAGCCCGGGGCUCAACUCCGGAACUGCCUUUAAGACUGCAUCGCUUGAAUCUGGGAGAGGUAAGUGGAAUUCCGAGUGUAGAGGUGAAAUUCGUAGAUAUUCGGAAGAACACCAGUGGCGAAGGCGGCUUACUGGACCAGAAUUGACGCUGAGGUGCGAAAGCGUGGGGAGCAAACAGG